rnacentral:rRNA from 2 species
AAAUUGAAGAGUUUGAUCAUGGCUCAGAUUGAACGCUGGCGGCAGGCCUAACACAUGCAAGUCGAGCGGUAGCACAGAGAGCUUGCUCUCGGGUGACGAGCGGCGGACGGGUGAGUAAUGUCUGGGAAACUGCCUGAUGGAGGGGGAUAACUACUGGAAACGGUAGCUAAUACCGCAUAACGUCGCAAGACCAAAGUGGGGGACCUUCGGGCCUCAUGCCAUCAGAUGUGCCCAGAUGGGAUUAGCUGGUAGGUGGGGUAACGGCUCACCUAGGCGACGAUCCCUAGCUGGUCUGAGAGGAUGACCAGCCACACUGGAACUGAGACACGGUCCAGACUCCUACGGGAGGCAGCAGUGGGGAAUAUUGCACAAUGGGCGCAAGCCUGAUGCAGCCAUGCCGCGUGUGUGAAGAAGGCCUUCGGGUUGUAAAGCACUUUCAGCGGGGAGGAAGGCGGUGAGGUUAAUAACCUCAUCGAUUGACGUUACCCGCAGAAGAAGCACCGGCUAACUCCGUGCCAGCAGCCGCGGUAAUACGGAGGGUGCAAGCGUUAAUCGGAAUUACUGGGCGUAAAGCGCACGCAGGCGGUCUGUCAAGUCGGAUGUGAAAUCCCCGGGCUCAACCUGGGAACUGCAUUCGAAACUGGCAGGCUAGAGUCUUGUAGAGGGGGGUAGAAUUCCAGGUGUAGCGGUGAAAUGCGUAGAGAUCUGGAGGAAUACCGGUGGCGAAGGCGGCCCCCUGGACAAAGACUGACGCUCAGGUGCGAAAGCGUGGGGAGCAAACAGGAUUAGAUACCCUGGUAGUCCACGCUGUAAACGAUGUCGAUUUGGAGGUUGUGCCCUUGAGGCGUGGCUUCCGGAGCUAACGCGUUAAAUCGACCGCCUGGGGAGUACGGCCGCAAGGUUAAAACUCAAAUGAAUUGACGGGGGCCCGCACAAGCGGUGGAGCAUGUGGUUUAAUUCGAUGCAACGCGAAGAACCUUACCUGGUCUUGACAUCCACAGAACUUUCCAGAGAUGGAUUGGUGCCUUCGGGAACUGUGAGACAGGUGCUGCAUGGCUGUCGUCAGCUCGUGUUGUGAAAUGUUGGGUUAAGUCCCGCAACGAGCGCAACCCUUAUCCUUUGUUGCCAGCGGUUAGGCCGGGAACUCAAAGGAGACUGCCAGUGAUAAACUGGAGGAAGGUGGGGAUGACGUCAAGUCAUCAUGGCCCUUACGACCAGGGCUACACACGUGCUACAAUGGCAUAUACAAAGAGAAGCGACCUCGCGAGAGCAAGCGGACCUCAUAAAGUAUGUCGUAGUCCGGAUUGGAGUCUGCAACUCGACUCCAUGAAGUCGGAAUCGCUAGUAAUCGUAGAUCAGAAUGCUACGGUGAAUACGUUCCCGGGCCUUGUACACACCGCCCGUCACACCAUGGGAGUGGGUUGCAAAAGAAGUAGGUAGCUUAACCUUCGGGAGGGCGCUUACCACUUUGUGAUUCAUGACUGGGGUGAAGUCGUAACAAGGUAACCGUAGGGGAACCUGCGGUUGGAUCACCUCCUUACCUUAAAGAA